UACGUAGGGGGCGAGCGUUGUCCGGAUUCAUUGGGCGUAAAGCGCGCGCAGGCGGCUGGGCAAGUCGGCCGUGAAAUCUCCGGGCUUAACUCGGAGGGGUCGGGCGAGACUGCGCAGCUCGAGGCGGGUAGAGGGCAGUGGAAUUCCGGGUGUAGUGGUGGAAUGCGUAGAGCUCCGGAGGAACACCGGUGGCGAAGGCGGCAUCCUGGACCGACACUGACGCUGAGGAGCGAAAGCCAGGGGAGCAAACGGG
rnacentral:rRNA from 1 species